UCUUGUGCACAUUCUUCUUAUUUUUGUCAUUAACCCAACAAGACCUAGUCUUGAAAGAAAAAAAUAUAUGAAACAAAAUCUAAAUAUUCUCAGAAUCAAUAUCCAAUUGAUUUUGUAGAGUUGUAAAAUUGGAGUUUUAGGAGUUUAAAGAAUAUGAAAAUUAAGAAAAAAAAAAAAAGAAGGAGGACUUUUUUGGUGUAAGGAGAAUUGAGUUUGUUUGUGGAGUAACAGGGAAACAAACAACAACGGUUAAAUAUGUCCAUAGACAGAGAACACCAUGAUAUUCAUCGGAGGAGAUGAACAGUGAUCGGAGAAAAAUUGUUCCGGCAGAAUGGACCCUGGUGUGCCUAUUCUUAUCAUCUUAGAAGUUUCAAUCUCCAUCAACUUCUGGUAUAAAUUGCCUUCCUAAGCUCUUUUCAAAAUCAAACAAGUCCUACCUCAAUCAUACACCUUACAAAAAAUCAUAUACAUACUCAACAAUUCUAUAAUGGGGAAAGAAAGAAUUAUCAAUUGCAUGGUCAUGUUUAAGGUUAUCAUGAGAAAACUGAAGACUCAUCUUCAACUAAUUCCCAAAUAUUCCAAUAGCCAUCAAUUUGAUGUUGUGGAAACCCCAAGAGCAAAUGAAGAAGUUGUACCAAAUGAUGUUAAAGAAGGUUACUUUGCUGUAUUCUCAGUGAAUCCAGAAGAAGAGCCAAAGAGGUUUAUUGUUGAACUACAUUGGCUCACUAAUCCAUCAUUCUUGAAACUACUGACACAGGCUGAAAAUGAAUAUGGAUUCGAACAAAAGGGUGUUCUUGAAGUUCCUUGUUGCGCCGCUGAAUUGCAGAAGAUUUUGGAACUCAACAUUGGAAAUUAAGAUAGUUCUUCCGUGCCUAGCUAUAGCUAGAUUAAAAUUUCAAACUCUUUUGUUCAGUUUGUCUAAUUUCAACUUACUUUGAUUAUACUAUGCCUGGUUUAGAGGUUUAUGUUAGGGAUGUUUGUGCAUUGACAAAGUAAAAGCUACAUUAUGUUAUUAAGUUGAUUUAUAAUAAUA